GCUGAACGCGUGUUUACACCCAUAGAGCGGGCCAGAACAGGGUUUCUAAGUCAAUUGCAAGAUCUGAAACUGGGGAGUUUCAAGAAUGUCCAUGUUCAGAAGUCUUUGCAAGUAUCUACAUGAAAUCCUAGGACUGAAUUUCAUAUCCCAAAGGAUCAAGAUCCUGGUCCAAAAGCAUCAGAGAAGAUUCCCUCAGCUUCUGUAGAAGCUUCCGGAGUUCUUCUUUUGAAAAUACCUAAGAAAAAUAAAAUUAAAAAUAAUGAAGUUAUAUUUAUUUGCAAUGAACAGCACUGAUAUCAAACCCCCAUCCAAAAAUUAGUAACUGCACUACUUGGAAGAACUGCUUGUCAGAAGACUGGCAUCAUCUUCAGGGUUUCAAAGUUAACUCUCUGAUUCCUUAAGUCAGCAUACAAGGAAGCCCUUUAUUACUGCAGUGAAUGGCAAGAGAUAAAGAAACUUAUGAUGUUAAGGAACAUAUGGCGUCUUCCUCUCUAUAUAGAAGCUUCUUCCACAGUCAACCCACAGAGCUUUUAAAUGGAAGCUAAGCUGCCUGC